rnacentral:rRNA from 1 species
UACGUAGGGGGCAAGCGUUGUCCGGAUUUAUUGGGCGUAAAGAGCGUGUAGGCGGCCAAGCAGGUCCGCUGUGAAAACUCGAGGCUCAACCUCGAGACGUCGGUGGAAACCGUUUGGCUAGAGUCCGGAAGAGGAUAGUGGAAUUCCUGGUGUAGUGGUGAAAUACGUAGAUAUCAGGAGGAACACCGGUGGCGAAGGCGGCUAUCUGGCCUAAUAUUGACGCUGGGGAUGCGAAAAGCGUGGGGAUCAAACAGG